rnacentral:rRNA from 1 species
AACAGGAAGCAGCUUGCUGCUUCGCUGACGAGUGGCGGACGGGUGAGUAAUGUCUGGGAAACUGCCUGAUGGAGGGGGAUAACUACUGGAAACGGUGGCUAAUACCGCAUAACGUCGCAAGACCAAAGAGGGGGACCUUCGGGCCUCUUGCCAUCAGAUGUGCCCAGAUGGGAUUAGCUUGUUGGUGAGGUAACGGCUCACCAAGGCGACGAUCCCUAGCUGCUCUGAGAGGAUGACCAGCCACACUGGAACUGAGACACGGUCCAGACUCCUACGGGAGGCAGCAGUGGGGAAUAUUGCACAAUGGGCGCAAGCCUGAUGCAGCCAUGCCGCGUGUAUGAAGAAGGCCUU